rnacentral:rRNA from 1 species
AUAUCAAUAAGCGGAGGAAAAGAAACCAACAGGGAUUGCCUCAGUAACGGCGAGUGAAGCGGCAACAGCUCAAAUUUGAAAUCUGGCUUCUUUUGAAGUCCGAGUUGUAAUUUGUAGAGGAUGUUUCGGCUCUGGCUCUGGUCUAAGUUCCUUGGAACAGGACGUCAUAGAGGGUGAGAAUCCCGUACGUGGUCGCUAUCCUUUGCCGUGUAAAGCCCCUUCGACGAGUCGAGUUGUUUGGGAAUGCAGCUCUAAAUGGGAGGUAAAUUUCUUCUAAAGCUAAAUACUGGCCAGAGACCGAUAGCGCACAAGUAGAGUGAUCGAAAGAUGAAAAGCACUUUGGAAAGAGAGUCAAAUAGCACGUGAAAUUGUUGAAAGGGAAGCGCUUGCAGCCAGACUUGCCUGUAGUUGCUUAUCCGGACUUUUGUCCGGUGCACUCUUCUGCGGGCAGGCCAGCAUCAGUUUGGGCAGUUGGAUAAAGGUCUCUGUCAUGUACCUCUCUUCGGGGAGGCCUUAUAGGGGAGACGACAUGCAACUAGCCUGGACUGAGGUCCGCGCAUCUGCUAGGAUGCUGGCGUAAUGGCUGUAAGCGG